CUAAAACCGAGGCUGGGAAACUCAGUAAUAUAUCCCUUACCCAGCAUGCCUAAGACCCUGGGUUAAAAACAAAAAAACCCAAAAAAAACAAAAUAAUUCCAGAA